rnacentral:rRNA from 1 species
UUGGAGGGCAAGUCUGGUGCCAGCAGCCGCGGUAAUUCCAGCUCCAAUAGCGUAUAUUAAAGUUGUUGCAGUUAAAAAGCUCGUAGUUGAAUUUCGGGGUUCUACCGUCGGUCGGGCUACCAAGUCUGUACUGGUGUGUAGAAUUCCUACCUUCUGGGGAACCAUCAUGUUAUUAAUUUAGCGUGGUGGGAAACCAGGACCUUUACCUUGAAAAAAUUAGAAUAUUCAAAGCAAACUUAUGUCUAAAUACAUUAGCAUGGAAUAAUAGAAUAGGACGGUGGUCCUGUUUUGUUGGUUUCUGAAUCACCGUAAUGAUUAAUAGGGAUAGUUGGGGGCAUUAGUAUUCAAUUGUCAGAGGUGAAAUUCUUGGAUUUAUUGAAGACUAACUUCUGCGAAAGCAUUUGCCAAGGAUGUUUUCAUUAAUCAAGAACGAAAGUUAGGGGAUCGAAGACGAUCAGAUACCGUCGUAGUCUUAACCAUAAACUAUGCCGACUAGGGAUCGGACGAUGUUAACUUUUAUUGACUCGUUCGGCGCCUUACGGGAAA